GUGAGAUCUCAGAUUAUCUUUAUUUUCCGUGCCAGUGUAGUCCAAAUAAAGUUGCAAAUACCGAGUCGUGCCUUCAGUUACUCUACUAGUUCAUAGUUACUCUACAACACCGGUUUCUUUAGAAUAGUAUGGCGGCUAAACUUUUCUGGAGCAAUUUGAGUCAGUUAAUACGUACAGAAAGGGUUAUUUGUUGGUUGUAUGAUGCCCAGGACGCUAAAGCUGCAGACGCUGGCGAAGCCAUUAAAGGGCCGACAAUCCGCCUGCUUUUUCGAUACAACCCGGCCAGUUUGUUUGGACUUGAACUGCAUACCAGCUGGACGAAAACUUUAAGAGAAAUCCUGUCUUUCUGUCGGUUUGCCGCCAAACUCAAAACUGGACUUGGAAGCCCAAAGACGAUCCGGUUUCAUGACGAAUCUAAAGUUUCGCUGGAUGUAGCUUUGGUUGAGUUGAAUACUUCGGAGGCCACAGCACAUAAAAUUCUACGCCGUGAGGACGACAAGCCUAUUUUCCUGUUAUACGUGGAAGAUUCUGCGGACUACUCAUCCGAUGUAUCAGUGCCGGAUGCUGAUGCUGACGAACCCAAACCUGCAAUGGAGUGGAGCCGGAACUUGGAUUACUUGUCGGAAGAUGUUCCUCUGAAGUUGGGUUGGAUUCCCGUACAUGUUGUCAACAAAUUCACAGGCAACCCAAUUGCUUAUCUGCAGGCCACCGGCACGGCCACAGUGGGAAACGUCAUUUACACGGGCCAAGCAGCUGAACAUUUCUGGGGAUGGCCGAUGGAUUAAUGCGGCUCGUAAAUUUUACAAUUUAAACGACACUAUCGGUAAUUUGCGUCUGGCCAUGGUGGAGCCCGAUCAGCCUGUAAUUCUGGCGCUGGAGCUGGCCAGUGCUGGAACGCAGAAUAUCGACGAACCGGGUAUGGCGGUAUCGGACGAAGAAUAAUAUUGAACUGGCGCUGUGAUCUACCACGAUGCAUCUCACUGCUGAACUGCUGAAACUUUGUACACGUUCUCUGAAUGAAUCGCGUUUUGCAGCUAGUUUUAAACCGUUCUUUUUUAUGGCAGGUUUUUUUGUGGAUUUUUCUAUUGAGAAAUUAGCAGUGUAGCCUCUCUUGCUCACUUAUUGCUGUGGACAAAAACCAAAGCAUCUUUUUUUUAGCUAUGGCCUAGGAAAUUGGAAAUGUUUUAUCUUGCUUGUUUGUCUUAUGUCCGUUUAGGAAUGAGAGAAUCGCUGGGUUUCGCUCUUUGAGAAACAAUCAUUUUCUUUGGUCAAACUAGUGAUGUCUUGGCACAAACUGCUACAGUGGUUCACAAACA